CAGAAGGCUGAGAGAGCCCUGUGUGGCUCUGGAGCAGGAUGUGGCUUCCUCCAGACCCCUGGGCCCUGCACUGCUGCAAGAAGCAGAAUUCCUCCAGUCCUGACUGCAGUCCCGCUCCAUCCCAGAGCCCGGCUUGAUUUUUUAGCAAAGAUAUUUGAGGAAGGGAGAGAGCACUGACCAGGAGUACCAUGAUGAACCUGCUCUCAUCCUGCUGCUAACACUUUGAUGUCCUUAAGCAAGCAGCCCUCCAUCCCAGAGCUGAGGUUUUCUCCCCUACACUCGGUAAAUAAAGAACUUGCCUUGUCCACCACCCAGACCUGUGAAGAAGAUAAAAUUAAGUACUAGAUGCAGAAGAAUUUUGCAAAGGGUACAGCACCUUGUAAGUGUGAGUGAUGGGGGCAGGCUUGUAAACAUGGCUGUGGGCUGGCUAAUUCUCUUCUUAUUUGCGAGGCUGGGUGAUUGCCUGCACUUGGCUUCUGAAGGGACCAAAUGCAGGCUUUUUUGUCUGACUCCCAGGAGUCAAAGCGGCCUUUAGUCCUUAACUGCAAAUUUGGGAGCCCAAGUGGGAUAUUUCAAAAAUUGCCAAGUGGAUUUGUGCAGAGAGCACUGCAUCGAGGGGAAAUCUCUGUAUAGUUCUGUUCUCAUGAGGACACAAGAAGUGUCAUCAAGACAAAAUACCGUGAGGAUAUACAGUCAGUUUUCAGCAGUGUCUCGGGGGGUGUCGGGGUGACAGUUACAGGCUGUUUAUGGUGGCGCCACUAGACAAGUAGGCAUACAUCACGGGCACUUAAUUUUCCAGAAAAGUACCUACUGUGGAGGCUAUAAACCCAGUACACUCCUGGAAGAAUUAUCACAUGAGGAUAGUGUCUUAUCAGAGAUGUGAUGAGGCAUUCAACAAUGAUGCUGCAGCCAAAAAGCAAAAAGAAAGAAAAAAAAUGCCUUAAAACAACUCUUGUAAUAGCGGGGAUAGAAGGGAAGCAAUUAAGAUUCUGCUGCAAUUUUUAUAAGAUGUCUCCUCCAGUUAACGACACAAGAUGUUUACUGCUGACAAUUGUUGACAUUAAUGUGCAUCCAGGGUUAUAUGGACCCCGCUCUCAGGCACAGAAGUCUUUUAAUUAUUGACACACAGCAAUUUGGAAAGCCUGAGGAUUCUCGCAACACAUCCACAGCCACAGGCUCCGUUGUGUCUAGGCAAUUGGAGUGGUUUUAGCAACUGCAUUUGGCUCUGCAGGCUUAGCCUGCUUUAUCUUUAAUAUCAGAUUUGGAAGAGGAGGUAAUGGGUGACUGUGAGGCAGCAGCCAGGGCAGAGCUGUUUGGCAGAGUAUCUGGAAUGCAUUCUCGGGCAAGGCUGCUUCCAGGGAAGGAAAGGUGGCCUUGCUGGGUCACCAUUUUCCAAAGUGGCUUUCCUUGACCCCUGGUCCUGACACAUGCUCUGAGAAGUGUUCUGCGGUCAUCUAGUUUGGGAAACACUGCACUUGAUGGCUCUCCCUGCAGAGUUGUAUAUAUACCACACAGUGAAGGCCCUGAGAAGUCCCGUGGUAGAUACUUGUUCAAUUUCUUUUAAUCCACCCUUUCCCACAUUUUCUUGAUGGCGGAAUCACAUCGCACCCUUCCACCCACCCUGGGUAGCAUGUGCCAGAACAUUCUGUAGAAGUAGGAGCUCUGAGGCACAAACUUUGGGAAAGGCCUCCCUAGGGUUCCUGGUAUCAGGCUGGGCCCAGUUACUAAACAGCAGCAUUCCUGAGAGCUUGCAGUGUGUGGGUCCUGUGCCUCAGCUCUCAGGGACCUCAUUCUCCACUGGCUCCUUCAUUCCAGCCUGGGAUGCACAAACACGUGAGUCAGAGGAUGGGGUGGGCAACCUCUCACGUGACCUCUGUGCCAAGGCAGAGGCUUGGCUGGGGCACAGCUGCUUUGUGGCCUAGUGGGGUAGGGUUCCUAUGGUCCUGUACCCCCAGUCCUAGGGCUGAGCGUGGUGUUCUGAGGGUGGCAUUAACUCUAUGCUAACUCCUUCCUGUGCCAUGCACCAUCUGACUGUGUUUAGCCUCCAGAAUGCCCCUGGAGUGCUUCGUGACCCAUACAUACCCUACCCUCUCAUUGUAGGCCACCAUGGACAUCUGCUUUGCCUGCUCACCAGUGAAUUCUCUCUUCUGGUAACACACCCUGAUUUUCCUCUGGGAGCUGCCCUCUCCUACUCUCAGCCCAUGUGUUUCAGGGUGUGUUCUGGAUUUCUUUAUCCCUCUAGGAACUGUGUUUUACAACCAGCCCUUCUGACACCAAGUGCGUGGGUUGUUCUCCCUAGCACACCAACCAAUCCCCCAUUUCUCCAGAUGCCAAUUAGGGGCCCUACAACUCCAUUCCAGUCUCAUACUAACUACCUGGAGUCAGCGCAGGCCCAACAGGAUAAGAGCUCACUCCCGUGAGACUGCGUUCACUUCAGAUGCCAGUCACAAGUCCUGGGCCACGUGGAUGUCUGACCAGUAGGCUAUGAAUUAAAGAGACACAGAGCAAGCAGGGAAGGAGCAGAGAGAGGAGGAGACACAGAAUC